GCGAGUUGCAAAACUCCCAAACCAUUGUGAACCUACCUAUACCGUUCCUUCGGCGGGCGGCCUACGCCCUAACCUGCCGCCCCUUCGCGAGGCUGGCGGACCCGCCGGAGGCCCCUAAACCCUUAGCUUCUUUGGCACUUCUGAGUAUAACUUUUAAUAAGUCA
rnacentral:misc_RNA from 1 species